ensembl:lncRNA
UGUAAGCCUGUUCGCUGCAUAGACAUCCUGUUUACCCCAAAGAGUCCCGGAGUUGGCAACAGAAGAAGAUUUUCAAACAGACACUCAGGAGGAGCAAAGACUAAGAAAAAGACCCCCUCAAGAAUUUUCCAAACAGCACUUUGAACAGGCUGUUUUUUUUUGGAUACCACUGGAACCAGAAGCACUGUCCGGUCUGCCACCACAUCUUCAUCAUCUUCAUCCACCACCACCAAGAGAACCCUCACAUCGGACGUCACAGUGCGCCUUGACUUUGGUUGUGCACAGAAGGGUGGUAGGACAUAUUUUUUUUGGACGAUACUCCUUCUUUUAUACGUUUUUCCAGAUUGAACUCAGUCCUGAGAUCUCAGAGGUUUCCUUUAUUUUUGAUGUUACCUGCUUGGACAUUCUUUUGAUGUGUGGAAUCGUGCAUUUGCUGAAGAAAUGAUUGUCUAAUUGUGUUAUAAAUAUUUGGGGUGGCCAUUUCCUGUUUCCAAUUGAAUACUCAGCAGUUUCCUCAUCGAACCUGGAUUGAAUUUGCAUAUCCCCCUAUAUUCUGUAUAUUCUGCACUGUCUCUAAGCGCCAGUUGCAGGGGAGGGGUUACACAUACAAAAACAUACAUACCUACUCAAGCUUUAACUUAAAAGGUCACG